UACGUAGGGGGCAAGCGUUGUCCGGAAUUAUUGGGCGUAAAGCGCGCGCAGGCGGUCCUUUAAGUCUUGUGUUUAAUCCCGGGGCUCAACCCCGGUUCGCAUGGGAAACUGGAGGGCUGGAGUGCAGGAGAGGAAAGUGGAAUUCCACGUGUAGCAGUGAAAUGCGUAGAUAUGUGGAGGAACACCGAUGGCGAAGGCAGCCCCCUGGGUCAAGACUGACGCUCAUGCACGAAAGCGUGGGGAGCAAACAGG
rnacentral:rRNA from 1 species